rnacentral:misc_RNA from 1 species
GUGAAUUGAAUAUGUUAGCGGACCUCUUCGGAGUCCCUAGCAUCAAAUCAUAUCCAUAAACACCUGUGAACUGUAAGGCUGUCUUGAAAACGAAAGUGAUUAGAGCGCCUGCCCAUUUUAUACAAACAUUAAAGUAACAAACGUAGUCUUAUUAUAAUCUAAU